UGGGGAAUCUUCCGCAAUGGGCGAAAGCCUGACGGAGCAACGCCGCGUGAGGGAUGAAGGCCUCUGGGCUGUAAACCUCUUUUCUCAAGGAAGAAGAUCUGACGGUAUUUGAGGAAUAAGCCACGGCUAAUUCCGUGCCAGCAGCCGCGGUAAUACGGGAGUGGCAAGCGUUAUCCGGAAUUAUUGGGCGUAAAGCGUCCGCAGGCGGCCUCGUAAGUCUGUCGUUAAAGCGUGGAGCUUAACUCCAUUUCAGCGAUGGAAACUGUGAGGCUAGAGUGUGGUAGGGGCAGAGGGAAUUCCCGGUGUAGCGGUGAAAUGCGUAGAUAUCGGGAAGAACACCAGUGGCGAAGGCGCUCUGCUGGGCCAUAACUGACGCUCAUGGACGAAAGCCGGGGGAGCGAAAGGGAUUAGAUACCCCUGUAGUC
rnacentral:rRNA from 1 species